CGGUCUCUUGAUUUCUUUUACAAGUUUCGGCUUAAAAGCCAUUUUCUAAAUUUUGCAUCAAUUAUUACACCGAGGUCAAUUGGCAUUGGAUUACGACACAAAUUACAUUUUUAGAAUCUUUGCGGAAAGAGUAUUUUGCCUCUCGGUCUCGCCGGGGUUUCGCAGCACGGUGGUCGGAAAAGUUAACUUAACCUAAAAUUUGCAAGCCAUAUAUUGUUUAUUUUAAGGUUUAGGUCAUAGAUAUGGGCUCAGUUUAAUGUGAAUGUGCGCCGAUUAACCGGAAAUCGACCGGCCAUUUUUGGGAUUUUCCGAUUUAGUCCAUGAAAAGGGACAUCGAAGCUACUAAAAGAUAGAAGGCAGAAGACUAGAAGCCUGAAGUCGCCGGCAACUAUGCGAAUCGCCGGAAAAAGAAUUCACAGAGUGCCCAAGAGUUCCAGUCGCGCUUUCUCUUGAUUCAGGCUCCUAUUUCAAAAAUCGAGGCGACGGAUGAGUUCCUCUCGUCGAGCUCUUGAGGUGUGAGUGUUUAAUCGUCGAAACCGGUGGCAGGAGGUCGAAAAAUGAAGAGAAGAAAUGGGGAGGGGCAGUCGCCGAUCAGGGAGAAAGAAAGGAGAAGGAGAAAGUGUUUUUCUCUCUCCUCUUUGAUCGGCAAUAGAGGGUUUGGUCCGAUUUGGUGUCCGGGUCGUUUCAACUUAGAUUUUUAAACAGAUUUUCUUGGUUUUGAGUGGUUCGAGUCUGAUUUGAAUGGUUUGCAUUGGGUUGUGCCUCACCCUUCCUCAGUUUGUCAAUUUACAAUCAUUUUGAUAUUUCCUAAAUUCCCAAUUUAAAUUUUAAAUCAUAAAUCUCUUUGAAAAGUUAAAAUUGGGUCAUUUCAUUAAACCAGC
rnacentral:lncRNA from 1 species